rnacentral:misc_RNA from 1 species
AACAAACAUCGAUUCCAUUGCUUUUUUUUAAAAGUGAUGUCGUCGGAUUUGAGCCGUCUUUUUUUUAUAACUAAUAAGUGGCUUAAAAUUGAUUUUUUUGGUAUGAUCGAAGCGUAUUUUAUGAUCAAAUUUUGGUUAAGGAAACGCACACGUACCGUCAUUUUAUAUGAUGUAAUACGUUUGACUAUCAGAUUUAGAUCAUUCGUAUACGAUAUUUUUCAAU